rnacentral:rRNA from 1 species
UACAGAGGUCCCAAGCGUUGUUCGGAUUCACUGGGCGUAAAGGGUGCGUAGGUGGUCGGGUAAGUCUGAUGUGAAAUCUCUGGGCUCAACCCAGAAAUGGCAUUGGAUACUAUUCGGCUAGAGGAGUGGAGGGGGGGACUGGAAUACUUGGUGUAGCAGUGAAAUGCGUAGAUAUCAAGUGGAACACCAGUGGCGAAGGCGAGUCCCUGGACACUUCCUGACACUGAGGCACGAAAGCUAGGGGAGCAAACAGG